AGAGCGAACGCUGGCGGCAGGCUUAACACAUGCAAGUCGAGCGCUCGUAGCAAUACGGGAGCGGCAGACGGGAGAGUAACACGUGGGAACGUACCCUUCGGUUCGGAAUAACCCAGGGAAACUUGGGCUAAUACCGGAUACGUCCGUAAGGAGAAAGAUUUAUCGCCGAGGGAUCGGCCCGCGUCCGAUUAGCUAGUUGGUGGGGUAAUGGCCCACCAAGGCGACGAUCGGUAGCUGGUCUGAGAGGAUGAUCAGCCUCACUGGGACUGAGACACGGCCCAGACUCCUACGGGAGGCAGCAGUGGGGAAUAUUGGACAAUGGGCGCAAGCCUGAUCCAGCCAUGCCGCGUGGGUGAUGAAGGCCUUAGGGUUGUAAAGCCCUUUCGGCGGGAAGAUAAUGACGGUACCCGCAGAAGAAGCCCCGGCUAACUUCGCGCCAGCAGCCGC
rnacentral:rRNA from 1 species